AGAACAACGUACAUUCAGGAAAAAGUGCAACUGUUGAGAAAUAUAACGAUGUUUUUGUUGACAACACUCAGAUUGGACUGAGCAAUAAUGAGAAUAACACAGCAAACAAAAUGUCAACAUGUUCCAUUAACUGAGCAGCCCUGAAUAUCUGGUGUAGCUAUUUCAUGACGUCAUGGAGAAAGGAUUCCCUUUUUUAAAUAGUAUCAAUUGAGGGCAUGUUCGAAUGACAUUUGGGCUUCUGUUGCGAUAAUUACACUUAACCUGUUGUUUUCAGUUAUUGUGUGGUUUUCCUACUGCAAUUUAUGCUUAUAUGGAAGUUAAUUAUAAUAAUUUGAAAACAUUCCCUGCACAUUUAGAAGUAUUGCUGUAUUUUGAUUCAUGGAUUUAAUUCGUCCAGAUUCAGAUGACAAAUAUUGUGGACCCCCACAACAAUAGAUUAAGAUGAUGGUGCAAAAUUGUAUAUUUGCUUUAGUUCACAAUAGUGUAGCACA